CUGUCUCUUGCUUCAACAGUGUUUGAAUGUAACAG
rfam:Myotis brandtii contig240148, whole genome shotgun sequence.